rnacentral:rRNA from 1 species
GUACACGCUGUGACUAGCAUAUCAAUAAGCGGAGGAAAAGAAACUAACAAGGAUUCCCCUAGUAACGGCGAGUGAAGCGGGAAGAGCUCAAAUUUGAAAUCUUAAAGGGUUUCCCUUUACGAAUUGUAGUUUAAAGAAGUGUUUUCUGUUGAGGUUUUGGUAAAAGUUCUUUGGAAUAGGACAUCAUAGAGGGUGAGAAUCCCGUAUUUGACCUUUACUUUCAACUUUGUGAUACACUUUCAAAGAGUCGGAUUGUUUGGGAAUGCAGUCCAAAAUGGGUGGUAAAUUUCAUCUAAAGCUAAAUAUUGGCGAGAGACCGAUAGCGAACAAGUACCGUGAGGGAAAGAUGAAAAGAACUUUGAAAAGAGAGUUAACCAGUACGUGAAAUUGUCAAAAGGGAAGCGUUUGACACCAGUGUUGUUUUUCUGAAAAUCAAUUAAAGAACUGUUUAUGCUAAGUUGUUUAGACUUUAUCAGCUAACUGUUUAGUUUUGAGCUUUUCUUUAAUGCACUUUUCAGUUAACAAGUCAACAUCAAUUUCUUUUGCUGUAAAAAAGCUUGAGGAAGGUGGCUUGAGAUUCGUCUUAAGUGUUUAUAGCCUCUUGCCUAUGCAGUCGGAGAGAUUGAGGUCUGCAGCGUAGAUCCUUCGGGGCUAAAUGCAUUUGUGCUAAGUUAUAGCAUUUUAUAGACAACUUGUUGACUAUGAUUUGUCUUGUAGCUUACUCGCUUAUGUUAUUUUACCUACGCUUAGGAUGUUGACAGCAGUAUAGACUGU